rnacentral:rRNA from 1 species
UACGUAGGGGGCAAGCGUUGUCCGGAAUCAUUGGGCGUAAAGGGCUUGUAGGUGGCCAACUAAGUCAGACGUGAAAUCCCUCGGCUUAACCGGGGAACUGCGUCUGAUACUGGAUGGCUUGAGUGUGGGAGAGGGAUGCGGAAUUCCAGGUGUAGCGGUGAAAUGCGUAGAUAUCUGGAGGAACACCGGUGGCGAAGGCGGCAUCCUGGACCAUUACUGACACUGAAAAGCGAAAGCCAGGGGAGCAAACGGG